CCUACGGGAGGCAGCAGUGGGGAAUCUUGCGCAAUGGGCGAAAGCCUGACGCAGCAACGCCGCGUGCGGGAAGAAGGCUUUCGGGCUGUAAACCGCUUUCAGCAGGAACGAAAAUGACGGUACCUGCAGAAGAAGGAGCGGCCAACUAUGUGCCAGCAGCCGCGGUGAUACAUAGGCUUCAAGCGUUGUCCGGAUUUAUUGGGCGUAAAGAGUUCGUAGGCGGUCGAGUAAGUCGGGUGUGAAAAUUCUGGGCUCAACCCCAGAGACGCCACCCGAUACUGCUUGACUUGAGUUCGAUAGGGGAGUGGGGAAUUCCUAGUGUAGCGGUGAAAUGCGCAGAUAUUAGGAGGAACACCGGUGGCGAAGGCGCCACUCUGGAUCGAUACUGACGCUGAGGAACGAAAGCAUGGGUAGCAAACAGGAUUAGAUACCCUGGUAGUCCAUGCCGUAAACGGUGGGCACUAGGUGUGGGUUUCUAUUAACGAAAUCCGCGCCGUCGCUAACGCAUUAAGUGCCCCGCCUGGGGAGUACGGUCGCAAGACUAAAACUCAAAGGAAUUGACGG
rnacentral:rRNA from 1 species